rnacentral:rRNA from 1 species
UACGAAGGGGGCUAGCGUUGCUCGGAAUCACUGGGCGUAAAGCGCACGUAGGCGGAUUUCUAAGUCAGGGGUGAAAUCCUGGAGCUCAACUCCAGAACUGCCUUUGAUACUGGAGAUCUUGAGUCCGGGAGAGGUGAGUGGAACUGCGAGUGUGGAGGUGAAAUUCGUAGAUAUUCGCAAGAACACCAGUGGCGAAGGCGGCUCACUGGCCCGGUACUGACGCUGAGGUGCGAAAGCGUGGGGAGCAAACAGG